rnacentral:lncRNA from 1 species
GUUGGAUUUUAUUUUUUAUCGCAGACCUCGCUAUGGGCUCAAUGUGGUUCGAAUCUUAAGACGUCAAAUCCUAACAAUCUCUAUCUUGACUCGAUAUUUGGCCUCCUCUUAACUCCGAGAGCUUCUGGAUCUUUUCGUCCCCAUCUCCUGGGGUAAUCGCCUGCUGAUCAUGGAUAGACAAACAUGAAAGUCGAGUCAGGUCACUCGAUCUCGUCUCC